GCGCUGGUGGUGUAAGGCAUAGCAUUUCUGCCUGGAAAGCAGAAGGUGCGGGUUCGAGUCCGCCAGGUGCA
rnacentral:tRNA from 1 species